UUGUGAUGCACUAAAAAAAGCUGCUGUCCAUUUUCGUUAUGAAUGUUUGUUUUGUUUUUUAAGAACUUGCGAAGUGUGGGUUUAAAUUUAGCUAGUAAAUAUAAUUGAAUACAUUUUAGGAUUAAGAACUUGAGUUGACGACGGUGUCGUUUUCAGUAUGUUACCGAAAGGGUUCUGUGUCAAGUCCAACACAGUGAUUAAACGCUCCAAWAGGUGAGGAGUCACUCGUUCCACAUUAAACUCAACGAUUUACAAUGGAGUUGAGCGACGACUAGUGGGCCGACUGGAGCUCCGACGUUUUAAUGAAAAAACGACACAUUUCAGCACCCAAAGAAUAGGCAACAAUUACACACGGUAUUUUCUAUUCGCCACCCAACUCAACAGGCAUACAGCCAUCCAGCCUCUUUGGUAGUUAGAAAGGAGGAAGCUGAAAGCUGACAUAUCCAUAGCCUUUCCCUCUCUGUCUACGGAGAAACUGUCCGAGUUGGUCCCAAACAAAUAGGAGCUCAAUGUAGUGAAGAUCUAUGCCCACAAGGGAGAUGUAGUCACCCUCUCCGUGCUUCAUAAGAACCCCGUGUUCUUUGAGCUGGAGAAACGCGUAUAUCCCACAGGUAGGGUUAAAAUCAACAUGUCUAUCCCACAGGAAGGGUUACAGUCAACAUGUCUAUCCCACAGGUAGGGUUACAUUCAACAUGUCUAUCCCACAGGUAGGGUUACAGUCCAAAUGUCUCAAGUGGCAGAGAUGCACUGACCAUACAACUCAGGAAAAAAAAUAGAAAUCUUGACUACUGUAUGUCUUGUUGUUUUCCAGUGUAUAAGCUUUGGCGUUAUCCCCAUGUCUUGCCAGCAUUCACAACAUGGCCUCCAGUGUUACAUAAGCUGGCUGGAGGGGCAGAUCUCAUGCUGCCUGGAGUGGUGGUGCCUCCAAGUGGUCUCCCAGAGGUGAAGAAGGGGGACUUCUGUGCUGUUAAAGUUGUUAGCAACAGGAAGGUUGAUUGACUGAAUCCAUUUGAUUAGCUGUUACCGCUGUCUAUAAUGAACACAUUGACAUACUGUAAACACAUUGACAAUGGCAGGCUUCAUAUUCUUGCUCACAACGUUGUGGUUGUUUGUUGCCAGGGCUCCCGUGGCAGUGGGCACUGGUGCACUGCCACCAUGUCCGAUGCAGGGCCUGGGCAUGAAGGGCAGAGGAGUGUCAAUAUUCCACACCUACAUGGACAGCCUGUGGUGAACACAUGAUCCAGUCAAACUCCACACACUGCAGCAUGGUUAGUGUCAAUAAGUAUAACCUGCACACAGCAUUCCCAAUCUACUAUCAUUAUGGAAUUUGGAGACGAGGCUGGUCCUCCCUCCAUUCCUGGUGUGGACACUGAGGGUGUCGAGGCAAUGUAUGGAGAGGAAGAAGAGGAUGAUGAACAGGCCACUGAGGGGGGUGAAGAGGAACCGUGUCCCAACCCAGAGGACCCGAGAAGCCCACACCUGCCAGCAAUUGCUAAUAACCCAUCCGCAACCGCCCGACUAUAUGUGAAAAUCUGUACCCCGACCAUAACCUGCUAAUAUAGAAAAUGUGCUGUAGGCUACAGUCAGAGACGACAUAACAAUUUUUUGACGGGGUGCAAGAUAUUUUUUGUUGUUGCCUGAUUUAGAUAUGUUUCUGCUUAUAGUUUCAGACAUUUUGGUAUGCUAUUUGUUAGUCAACUUGUCUAUAAUUAGAUACAUGCAGCUUCUCUUCUGUCAUUAUAUGUUGCCCUAGAAGAUUAAAUAAACCCAAUUCUGCUUGGAUGCAUA